CAGUCGCCACGGUAAUACGAACCGUGCGAACGUUAUUCGGAAUCACUGGGCUUAAAGCGCGUGUAGGCGGGAGGGCACGUCCGUCGCUGAAAUCCCCCGGCUCAACCGGGGAACGGGCGCGGAUACGACUCUUCUGGAGGAACGUAGGGGGACCUGGAACUUCCGGUGGAGCGGUGAAAUGCGUUGAGAUCGGAAGGAACGCCCGUGGCGAAAGCGAGGUCCUGGACGUUUACUGACGCUGAGACGCGAAAGCCAGGGGAGCGAACGGGAUUAGAUACCCCAGUAGUCCCUGUCUCUUAUA
rnacentral:rRNA from 1 species